GACGAACGCUGGCGGCGUGCCUAAUACAUGCAAGUCGAGCGGACGAACUUUUGGUGCUUGCACCGAAUUUUCGUUAGCGGCGGACGGGUGAGUAACACGUGGGCAACCUGCCUUGUAGUUUGGGAUAACUCCGGGAAACCGGGGCUAAUACCGAAUAAUACUUUUUAGCUCAUGCUAGAAAGUUGAAAGAUGGUUUACGCUAUCGCUACAGGAUGGGCCCGCGGCGCAUUAGCUAGUUGGUGAGGUAACGGCUCACCAAGGCGACGAUGCGUAGCCGACCUGAGAGGGUGAUCGGCCACACUGGGACUGAGACACGGCCCAGACUCCUACGGGAGGCAG
rnacentral:rRNA from 1 species